AAACUUUCAACAACGGAUCUCUUGGUUCUGGCAUCGAUGAAGAACGCAGCGAAAUGCGAUAAGUAAUGUGAAUUGCAGAAUUCAGUGAAUCAUCGAAUCUUUGAACGCAUCUUGCACCCUCCGGUAUCCCGGUGGGUAUGCCUGUUCGAGCGUCAUU
rnacentral:rRNA from 1 species